rnacentral:misc_RNA from 1 species
GAUGAAGAACGCAGCGAAAUGCGAUACUUGGUGUGAAUUGCAGAAUCCCGUGAACCAUCGAGUCUUUGAACGCAAGUUGCGCCCGAAGCCAUUAGGCCGAGGGCACGCCUGCCUGGGCGUCACACGUCGUUGCCCCCCCAUCUACUCCUUUGGGAUUGCGGGGGGCGGAUGAUGGCCUCCCGUGCGCCUCGCCGCGCGGUUGGCAUAAAUGCCAAGUCCUCGGCGACGCACGCCACGACAAUCGGUGGUUGCGAAACCUCGGUUGCCCGUCGUGUGCGGUCGUCGCGCAUCGAGGGCUCGAAAAAAUUGCCGGGUUCCGGCUCGGCUUUCAACGCGACCCCAGGUCAGGCGGGGUUACCCGCUGAAUUUAAGCAUAUCAAUAAGCGGAGGA